rnacentral:rRNA from 1 species
UACGGAGGGUGCAAGCGUUAUCCGGAUUCACUGGGUUUAAAAGGAGCGUAGGUGGGUUGGUAAGUCAGUGGUGAAAUCCCCGAGCUUAACUUGGGAACUGCCAUUGAUACUAUCAGUCUUGAAUACUGUGGAGGUUAGCGGAAUAUGUCAUGUAGCGGUGAAAUGCUUAGAUAUGACAUAGAACACCAAUUGCGAAGGCAGCUGGCUACACAAAUAUUGACACUGAGGCUCGAAAGCGUGGGGAUCAAACAGG